UUUCCGUAGGUGAACCUGCGGAAGGAUCAUUCUUGGUAUUUCACAACUGAAAGCGUUUUACCGUUUUCUUUUGUACUACUGAAAAAAAAUCCUAUUGGCCCCUUUUCUUUCUUUCUUUCUUCCGAGAAGAGGAGAGAGAGAGAGAGAGGGGGAUUGUGUCGAUGUAACCAUUUUUUUGUUUUCCAACAACACAAACAAAACCUUAUUCAAAAUCAAAACCAGUCCUAUGACCAUUCGAAACAAAAUGUCAUAACAACAUUCAGCAAUGGAUCUCUAGGCUCUC
rnacentral:misc_RNA from 1 species